GUUGCCUCUCACCUCCCAUGAUGCUGUUGGGCAGGACCACAGUGUCUGCAGUGUCUGCGUUGACAGAGACGUAAUCUGUGCGACAGAGAUUCAGAGCAAAAAAAAAUAGUUCUGCGCUCUCCAUUACACCACCACCUGCAGAGAGGAAUUGCUUCACAUCUUGGAAUACUCACUGCUGCUGCAUCAAACAAGUGGAACGGAGCAAAGAUCGUCAUCACUUUGGACACCAAGGAGCCUGGGCUGACCUGAACACAGCAGAGCAGUGAUGCAGGAGGUCUUGGCUUGCACUGCAUCCCCUGAUCCCAAGGCAUUGCCCA